AUUGAACGCUGGCGGCAGACCUAACACAUGCAAGUAGAACGAGUGGCGGACGGGUGCGUAAUGUCUGGGAAACUGCCUGAUGGAGGGGGAUACCUACUGGAAACGGUAGCUAAUACCGCAUACCAUCAGAUGUGCCCAGAUGGGAUUAGCUAGUGGGGGGGGUAACGGCUCACCAAGGCGACGAUCCCUAGCUGGUCUGAGAGGAUGACCAGCAACACUGGAACGGAGACACGGUCCAGACGCCUACGGGAGGCAGCAGGGGGGAAUAUUGCACAAUGGGCGCAAGCCUGAUGCAGCCAUGCCGCGUGUAUGAAGAAGGCUUGCGGGUUGUAAAGGACUUUCAGCGGGGAGGCGUUACCCGCAGAAGAAGCACCGGCUAACUCCGUGCCAGCAGCCGCGGUAAUUC
rnacentral:rRNA from 1 species